rnacentral:rRNA from 1 species
UACGGAGGGUGCGAGCGUUGUCCGGAAUCACUGGGCGUAAAGGGCGCGUAGGCGGCAUGCCAAGCGUGUGGUGAAAGCCCGGGCUCAACCCCGGGUCGGCCGUGCGGACUGGCGUGCUCGAGCACUGUAGGGGCGGGUGGAAUUCCGGGUGUAGCGGUGGAAUGCGUAGGAGAUCCGGGAAGAACACCGGUGGCGAAGGCGGCCCGACUGG